rnacentral:rRNA from 1 species
CCUACGGGUGGCUGCAGUGGGGAAUAUUGCACAAUGGGGGAAACCCUGAUGCAGCGACGCCGCGUGAGUGAAGAAGUAUUUCGGUAUGUAAAGCCCUAUUAGCAGGGAAGAAAAUGACGGUACCUGAUGAAGAAGCCCCGGCUAACUCCGUGCCAGCAGCCGCGGUAAUACGGAGGGGGCAAGCGUUACCCGGAUUUACUGGGUGUAAAGGGAGCGUAGGCGGCGGAACAAGUCGGAAGUGAAAUGCCGGGGCUUAACCCCGGAACUGCUUUUGAAACUGUGCAGCUAGAGUGCAGGAGAGGUAAGUGGAAUUCCUAGUGUAGCGGUGAAAUGCGUAGAUAUUAGGAGGAACACCAGUGGCGAAGGCGGCUUACUGGACUGUAACUGACGUUGAGGCUCGAAAGCGUGGGGAGCAAACAGGAUUAGAUAUCCCAGUAGUC